rnacentral:rRNA from 1 species
UACGUAGGGUGCAAGCGUUAAUCGGAAUUACUGGGCGUAAAGCGUGCGCAGGCGGUUAUACAAGACAGAUGUGAAAUCCCCGGGCUUAACCUGGGAACUGCAUUUGUGACUGUAUGGCUAGAAUCUGGCAGAGGGGGGUAGAAUUCCACGUGUAGCAGUGAAAUGCGUAGAUAUGUGGAGGAAUACCGAUGGCGAAGGCAGCCCCCUGGGCUAAGAUUGACGCUCAUGCACGAAAGCGUGGGGAGCAAACAGG